UUUGUUGUAGUAUUGAAGAAACUGUAAGGUGAGUCUGUACCCAAACUGUAAGGCAUGUCUGUUGAUGGUGAUCCCUAUUGUAGAUGAUGUAAACUGUUGUGUUUGUACUGUGCGAGAUAGAUGUAGAAUAGCAGCUUAGGAUAAGUAGAGGAGAAAUUCUGUUUGGAAUUCGAACUGGCUACAGGCAUGCCGAAACUGCUGUUGUAUUUUCAAUCUUGUUCUGAUGGGACAAAGAAUCCUGCAAUUUACUUGUGGUAGUAAGAAACAGUUCGUAUAUGCAUGGUGAAUGGGACUUGAAUGAAGUAUGUGUGUUGUGCUCAAUGAGAAAGUAUCAGUUGUGUCGGC
rnacentral:lncRNA from 1 species